ensembl:lncRNA
GUUACUGUUUCUAGCUGUGAGUUUGUUUGCUCACUUGGACGGGUUUUGGGGAUGUGAGAUCGAUCCUAGGGCCCAUGUAGGACCUUGUGGUGUGAUGGUGCACACGUUUGUCCUUUCUAGCCUGUUUCAAAUACACUUCCAAUACACAGUAUUGCAUGAUUCCUAACUCAGUAGUUUCCCAAGUCCUCUAGUGAUAGAAUUAUGAAAUAAAAAAGCCAAGAGGCAUUACUGUUUUCUUUACAAAUACUAUAUAGUGAUAUAGCAAUGAAUGGAUGGUGAUGCAAUGGAAACCAGUGAAUUCAGUCUCUACUUGAGUGGUAAAGUAUCUGACUAUUUACAGUAGUAUUUUAUCUGAAGAGCUGGGUAUGAUUUGAUGGAAUAUGCGGCGGCUUCCUGAAACCACCGGGCACCCAAACAACUGAACAAAGCCAGAAAAGAGAUCUGCAGAAAAUGGCUAUAAUAUCAAUGCUGAGUCACAUAGCCAAGGGAUUUCUCUUUCUCUUCUGCAUUCAGCCACACCACCGUGGGCUGUGAUCUUGUCAGUUCUCAUAAACUGGUAACACCAGUGAAGGGCUGAAGGUCAUACACAUGGCAGAAUCUUCCAACCCUGCCUGCAGGAGCUACUGGUAAAAGCAUUCAGGCAGGGUGAGGUGCAGAGCCUGAGCUUCCACUGGAUGUUGAUGGCUGCGAUACGCUUAUAGAGAAAGUACACUUUAUAAUUGGCAGCAAACAUCAGUGACCUGGCAUGAUUCCUGGCUAUGAAGUGGCUCUUUUUUGGCAGAAGAAAUUUCUGCUCCAGUUCCUGAGUGUUUCCUGGAAGGCAAGAUAGCAUUUAUGGGCUUUGAUACGAAUUUAACUCAUGCAACAAUGCAGAAACUGAUUUUAACUGUGUGAUUGAGGUAACACUUGAAGUUACCCUAGAAGCAUCUAUCUCAAGACCUGCCAAAGAUGUGCUUUUCAGACAUAUGCAGAUGUAAGAAGCUGUGAUUUAAAAGCUUCAUGUGAUAGAAAGUAAUCUUAGAAAUGUGGAUAUAUGUACCUGGUCCUAUCUCAGCUCUCUUUCCUGCCACAACGUUUCUUGUUUUAGUGGUGUUCCCAUUGCUUUACCUAGAAAAUUUCUUCAUCAACUCAUCCUGUACUUCUCAGCCCUGCCAAUAAUCACACUCUGCCUUUCCAUGUGGGCAUUCUGUCAGUGCUGAUGAGUAUUUUGGCUUUAAUAGAAAACUAGACAAUAAAAUAGCAAAAUAUUUUAGGUGCUAUUUUCUGGUCUCAUGUAAUUCCCUAUAUUACUUCUGCUGUGUUAAUAGAGAAUUUUGCAAUCACUUUUUAAACAACGUUCAUGAUUUCUUCCCAGUUUGAUUAUCUGAUGGCUUCUUUGAAAUCACUGUUAAAAUCUGAUCUAUAAAAUAAAAUGAAUAUUGAAAUAUCUUAUCUCCAUGUUGUAGGUAAUAAAAACAUUGUAAAGGUUAGCAACAUUACCUUUAAAUACAGAAUCAAGCAUGUUAAGUGCCUUGGAGUUAAGAUUUUAACUUUAUUAGAUUUAUGGUAAGAAUUAAAAUAUCCUCUCUUGUUACAUUUAUAAAGAUAGAGCUCGUUAGAUGAAGGAAAUUUCUUUUAUCAUUAAUAGGUCACAUAAAUGUGAUAAAAAUGUCUACGCUUUCCAUAAAUUUUAUUCUUAUUUUAAGCAGUUGCCGCAUAUAGAGUUUAUCCUUCAAAACUUUCAAUAGCAUUUUUAUAUCCUCCAAUUGAAAUAAUAAAAAGCAAAG